rnacentral:rRNA from 1 species
AGGGCAAGUCUGGUGCCAGCAGCCGCGGUAAUUCCAGCUCCAAUAGCGUAUAUUAAAGUUGUUGCAGUUAAAAAGCUCGUAGUUGAACCUUGGGUCUGGCUGGCCGGUCCGCCUCACCGCGAGUACUGGUCCGGCUGGACCUUUCCUUCUGGGGAACCUCAUGGCCUUCACUGGCUGUGGGGGGAACCAGGACUUUUACUGUGAAAAAAUUAGAGUGUUCAAAGCAGGCCUUUGCUCGAAUACAUUAGCAUGGAAUAAUAGAAUAGGACGUGUGGUUCUAUUUUGUUGGUUUCUAGGACCGCCGUAAUGAUUAAUAGGGAUAGUCGGGGGCGUCAGUAUUCAGCUGUCAGAGGUGAAAUUCUUGGAUUUGCUGAAGACUAACUACUGCGAAAGCAUUCGCCAAGGAUGUUUUCAUUAAUCAGGGAACGAAAGUUAGGGGAUCGAAGACGAUCAGAUACCGUCGUAGUCUUAACCAUAAACUAUGCCGACUAGGGAUCGGACGGGAUUCUAUGAUGACCCGUUCGGCACCUUACGGGAAAC